rnacentral:rRNA from 1 species
AUGACUUGUGGCUGGGGGUGAAAGGCCAAUCAAACCGGGAGAUAGCUGGUUCUCCCCGAAAGCUAUUUAGGUAGCGCCUCGUGAAUUCAUCUCCGGGGGUAGAGCACUGUUUCGGCAAGGGGGUCAUCCCGACUUACCAACCCGAUGCAAACUGCGAAUACCGGAGAAUGUUAUCACGGGAGACACACGGCGGGUGCUAACGUCCGUCGUGAAGAGGGAAACAACCCAGACCGCCAGCUAAGGUCCCAAAGUCAUGGUUAAGUGGGAAACGAUGUGGGAAGGCCCAGACAGCCAGGAUGUUGGCUUAGAAGCAGCCAUCAUUUAAAGAAAGCGUAAUAGCUCACUGGUCGAGUCGGCCUGCGCGGAAGAUGUAACGGGGCUAAACCAUGCACCGAAGCUGCGGCAGCGACGCUUAUGCGUUGUUGGGUAGGGGAGCGUUCUGUAAGCCUGUGAAGGUGUACUGUGAGGUAUGCUGGAGGUAUCAGAAGUGCGAAUGCUGACAUAAGUAACGAUAAAGCGGGUGAAAAGCCCGCUCGCCGGAAGACCAAGGGUUCCUGUCCAACGUUAAUCGGGGCAGGGUGAGUCGACCCCUAAGGCGAGGCCGAAAGGCGUAGUCGAUGGGAAACAGGUUAAUAUUCCUGUACUUGGUGUUACUGCGAAGGGGGGACGGAGAAGGCUAUGUUGGCCGGGCGACGGUUGUCCCGGUUUAAGCGUGUAGGCUGGUUUUCCAGGCAAAUCCGGAAAAUCAAGGCUGAGGCGUGAUGACGAGGCACUACGGUGCUGAAGCAACAAAUGCCCUGCUUCCAGGAAAAGCCUCUAAGCAUCAGGUAACAUCAAAUCGUACCCCAAACCGACACAGGUGGUCAGGUAGAGAAUACCAAGGCGCUUGAGAGAACUCGGGUGAAGGAACUAGGCAAAAUGGUGCCGUAACUUCGGGAGAAGGCACGCUGAUAUGUAGGUGAAGUCCCUCGCGGAUGGAGCUGAAAUCAGUCGAAGAUACCAGCUGGCUGCAACUGUUUAUUAAAAACACAGCACUGUGCAAACACGAAAGUGGACGUAUACGGUGUGACGCCUGCCCGGUGC